rnacentral:sRNA from 1 species
UGUCUAAACUUACGCUUAGCGUAGGCAUGGCACAAUAUAAGAAACUCACGUGAAUGAAAAUGGUCUUCUGACCGGCACUUAUUCACGUGAGUCAAUAGCUCGAAAGGGUUAUCGGAUAGUUCCGAAAGGUUCUGUC